AAUACGUUGACAACUUAUUUUACGAUUUAUUUUAUUAUUUUUUUAUACAGUAUAUCUGUGACUACUAAAUAAUAAAAAUACAGUAUUAUUUUAAUGUAAAUAUCUAUUUAUUUUCAAAAUAACCACCUUUAGCUUUAAUACAAAGGCUUAAACGUUUUCUGAAGUUUUCGACGAUUUUCCGUACCUCCUCUUCAGAUAUUUUGUCCCACUCACGAGUAAGUGUUGCCUUCAGCGCGUCUACACUUCUGUGUGAUGUUGCACAGGCCUUCGCCUCUAGAAUUGACCAUACGCUGAAAUCCAUUCGAUUAAGGUCUGGUGAAAAUGGAGGCCAUUCCUUGGAACUUAUGAACUCUGGGAAAUGGUCCAUACAUCACUACUGUACAUUUGAGGCCCUGUGAGAUGCAGUAGAGUCAUGUUGAAAAGUCCACGGUUGGUCACCGAAGUGCUACUGGCUCCAAGGAAGAACUACACUCUCUAAAAUAUCGCGUCGGUUUAUUUCCUGAUUCAUUUUCACACCUUUUUUUACGAAAACGAGAGGAGUUUUGCCUGUUGAGCAAAUGCCACGCCAAACCAUGACUGAAUCCGGUCUAUGCCGAUGGGGGAUAAUUGCUGUGGCUCCAGGGCGACUAGAAGAGUAAACUUUAUCGAUUUGGCGGUUAUGAGACUGUUCAAUCUGAAAAAUUUUUUCAUCGGUGAAAAAAAUAUUUUUCCACGCUUCACCAGCGGAGCGCGCUUUCAGUAAGCGACAUCUUUCAAGGCGUAUUUUUUUAUCUUUAUCAUCCAACCGCUGCGCUUUUCGAAGCUUGUAUGCUGUUAACUUGAGCUCAUUUUUAACAACUCGUUGUAACGUUGAAUGACUUACACCUAAAUCUCGAGCCAUUUUUCUUACCUUGGCUUGUGAAUUGCGGGUCUAUCUUUGUUUGACGAUAUGUCGAAGCCUAGGCGUCUUUACAGUUCUUUUUCUGCCUCUUCCCAGACAGUUACCAUGAUGGCCAAGCUCAUCGUAGCGUUUAAUAGCAGAAGAAACUAACUGCCGACUGAUACCGAGAAGUCGCACUACCGCGCACUGCCGCUUACCAGCCUCAUAUAAGGAUAUUAUUGCACCUCGUUGAGCAGACAUAGUAAAAAAUGACUAAUUUUUAAUUUAUUCUCUUCACAAAUAACUUUAAGUUGGCGCCAAAACAUGUGAAAAUAAUAAUUAAAAAACAAAAGCAACGCAGCAUGUCCCAUUUUUGAAAUUUAUUAUUUUGAAAUUUGUCAACGUAAUUUAGAACCACCCUGUAGUAACAUUAUCGAA